UACGAGGGGGCAAAUGUUGUUCGGAAUCACUGGGCGUAAAGGGAGCGUAGGCGGGUUUUUAAGUCAGGUGUUUAAUCCCGGGGCCCAACCCCGGACCUGCAUUCGAUACGGGCAGACUAGAGUUCGGUAGGGGAGUCUGGAAUUCCUGGUGUAGCGGUGAAAUGCGCAGAUAUCAGGAGGAACACCGAUGGCGAAGGCAGUGUUCUGGGCCAGUACUGACGCUCAGGCGCGACAGCGUGGGGAGCAAACAG
rnacentral:rRNA from 1 species